UUGAGUUCAGAAUCUCUAUCCCUCUUUCUUUGGUAAACUUGAAAACUUAUAGUGAAUCUUGUCCAAUUUUUGUGUUCGGGUUCAAGUUAGCUUCCGGAACUUGUGGGCUCAAGCUAUUGAGCAUAUGGGUAUGGUGUAGUUUAAGAGGGUGUUUAUGCAUUGAACUUGAAUUUGGAUUAUUUGGAGCUUUGUUGGUGACAAGGCUUGCUUUGGGGCUGUUUGAUUGAGCUUGGAGGGGCUGUGAUUUUAUGUUGAGAAGCUGCCUUGGGUGAAUUAAGUGAUCGGCCAAGGUAUGGUUUAAGUUUCGCACGUUUAAUAUUUACGGUGUUGUGAAAACUUAGGUUAGAGGAACCAUAGAAUAAGUUAGAUUGUUUGUUGUAUUUAAUGAUUAGCCUUGUAAUGUUGUUAGAAUAGAUUUGUUAGUGAAUUUAUAUAUUAGAAUUAUGAGGUGUGAAAGCUAUUAAUGGUGUGCUCUUAUAUUUAUUUAUGAUGGAUUAGGAUUGGUGUUUGUUAAUAAGGGUGUAGAGUUGUGUUGUGGUGGUAUUGUAUAUGCUGUAACUAAUUAUGUAAUGAUCGGAAUUGCAUGAGACCAAGUUUGGGCUAAACUUGGGAAUAUAAGGAACUAAACUGGAAAAUUUGGGACCUUUUUGUUAAAUAUACAAUUUAUGACAAAUUUUUAAAGUUAGGUUGUUAAAUCUGUCCAGCAGCAGAAAAGAUCAAACAGAGCAGCAACUUGUUUGUCUUGCUGCGACUUUUACGAGUUGAGUUUUGGAGCAAAACCAAUUUUGUUAUAAAAUUUGAUUAACUUUCUUUAUUUCUAUAAAAUUUUAGAAUUUUAAGAGUUGAGGAUUGGGAGCUGUGAAUUUUUAAAUAUUGGUGGUCAAAACUGAAAAGAAACAGAUUUCAGCAAGCUAUGCAUCAACUUCCAAUGCUUGUAACUCUUAGAAUUAAAUAGAAAUUGGGUUGCAACCAAGACACACUUAUUUCUGGAUGAGCUAGGGGUUUUCAAAUCAAAAUUUAGCUUAAUUGGAGUUUUGUAAUAAAAGUUAUUCCAAUUGAAAAGUACUAAGCUUGUUGGUUUUUAAAACAGAUUUUGCCUCAUUUUUACUUAACUUUCAGGUAAUGUAACUUUUUCAUUAAAAAUGGUAUUGACUCAGAACCAAUUUAGAAAGAAACCUGGAUGAGUAAAGUUUAACUACAUUAAUUUUCAAAGUCAUUGGAUUUAACUUGGAUUUUUUAUUGAAUUUUGAAUAUCACAUGCUGCUGCUGUUUUUCUGGUUUUAUGCACUGCAGAACAGUCACGGUUUUUCCUUUAUUCCUAAGGCUAGAAAAAUCAGAAAAUUAUGAUAUUUAAUUUGUUAGAAAUCUUAUUUCAAUAUGAACGCCUGGACAUAAAGUUUGUGCAAUUCCGAGUUCAUUUGCUAUAUUAGAAACAGAAAAGAAAAUAGAGUGUCGAGGAUGUCUUAGUGAUAGUCAUGAGUUCGAGAAGUUAAAGUUCAAUCCUCGUGUGAUGUGAUUGAUUUAAUGUUAGAGUUGGGUUGAUUUUAA